CUAAUCUUUUGCCUGGAUGGCUUUUGCCUUCCACUAAUCAUCAUCAUCAUCAUUUUGGUCACACUUACUUCUCUCCUUCACACAAUCUUCUGGAUGAAAUAAGCAAUGCAACCCCAAAUUUCUUGAUGAAUCAGAGUAAUUCUGCUCAUGAAUUUGUGCAGCUGCCUGCUCGACCUGGAUUUGAUGAUCUUCCUAGACCACCACCCGUUGUUAACAGACCUCCUGAGAAGAGACAGCGAGUCCCUUCUGCUUACAACCGAUUCAUCAAGGAAGAAAUCCAACGCAUAAAAGCAGG
rnacentral:misc_RNA from 1 species